CACUAGAGGCAACUAUAUAACUAUACUAUAAACAAUUUUUUAAGAUUUUGAUUUGUUUUCUUUGGCAACAAAAUAUAAAUACUACCACACCAACAAAUAAAAUAAUCCUAUGGAGAACUUGGUUGCAAUGUCACUUACAAUGUAUAAUGCAGACGUAAGCAUCUGAACCAAAAACUAAAUACAAAUCCUAUCAAUAAAACCUACACAUCAACCAGC
rnacentral:lncRNA from 1 species